AACUGGUCGGGAGCUGGGCCACUCCCCUGAUGAGCCCAUGGCAGGGCUAAACUAGUG
rfam:Jatropha curcas cultivar GZQX0401 scaffold365_89, whole genome shotgun sequence.